GGAAAGUGGGAAGUUUUGCAAGGCCCCUGUGUCUCAUCUGCCCAGGGUGGAAGUAUCUAACUGAGGCCUUAGGCAACACUAUGGGAACGGCCACUAGUCGGCUUCCUUGAUUCUAUUACAGCCAAUCCAUGCGCUGGGUCUCCCCUGGAGGGCUAUGGACCCACCCGCUGGAAGUUGCCGUGGAAGCUCUCAGUAGAAGGGCAUCCCACUUAAACGGUACAGGAGAAAAUGUCCUGAUCCAUAUUUGUACCAAGUACCAUCACAGAGCUGUGGGCACAGGCUCGACUGGAGGACUGUCAAGCCAGAGUGGGCCUGCCCAUAAGACUGAGAUGGAUUAUGAAAAUUGUCCCAGCCACUCAGCAGACAAGCGGGGAGGUGAGAUUUGAACCUAGGUUUGGCUGACUCACUGCAGAAAAAUCAAGGUUUCCCAGAAGAACACAGGUUCUUCUCUGUUCCACUCUCUCUCCCGGAAGGAAAGUUUAUGGGAACAUGUAGGUGCCCCUGUGGGCUCAGAGUGGGCAGACUGUACCCUGUGAAGGCAGGGACAGGUAUAGGGUUGCCCUACAGGCUGGUCUUGCAUUUCAUGUGAAGAUGGGUACAAUAAAGGACAGAAAAUGUAUGGACCUAACAGAAGCAGAAGAUAUUAAGAAGAGGUGGCAAGAAUAUACAGAAGAACUAUAUAAGAAAGAUCUUAAUGACCCAGAUAACAAUGAUAGUGUGAUCACUCACCUAGAGCCACACAUCCUGGAGCAAGAAGUCAAGUGGUCCUUGGGAAGCAUCACUACGAACAAAGCUUGUGGAGGUGAUGGAAUUCCAGCUGAUCUAUUUCAAAUCCUAAAAGAUGAUGCUGUGAAAGUGGUGCAUUCAGUAUGCCACCAAAUUCAGAAAACUCAGCAGUGGCCAUAGGACUAGAAAGGUCAGUUUUCAUGCCAAUCCCAAAGAAAGGCAAUGCCAAAAAAUGUUCACACUACCGCACAAUUGCACUCAUCUCACACUCUAGCAAAGUAAUACUCAAAAUUCUCCAACCUAGGCUUCAAAAGUACGUGAACAGAGAACUUCCAGAUGUUGAAGCUGGAUUCAGAAAAGGUCAAAGAAC
ensembl:lncRNA